AGCUAUUUAGCUAUAUAAGUAAAUGUUUUGAAAACAUUUGAAAAAGAAAUUUAAUAGCUA
rnacentral:tRNA from 1 species